UUAUCCUCUACAUGUUACCAAACAACCUGCUGGUCGCAUCAGUGGAAGCACUACAGCUCUAAUCAGUGUUACAGCCUGAGGACUGUGAUUGAGUCAAGUGCAGGUGGUGACUGACUGAAUAAUGAACAUACUGAGACUGUCCACUUCAACACACCUGUGCCUGCUGCCUGCAGACUCUGGAGAGAUUUGCUGCAGCAGUUUGGUUGAUAGUUACACAACCUCUGGUCCCUGUCAGUGUUAACAAUUGUUCAUCAUUUCAUCAUCUCUAGGUUGUUUCUGACUACUGCUGCUAUCCUGAUACAACAUACAUUUGCUGUAAAAUGAUCUACAGGAGCAACACAGAAUUUGCAGAGAAGCAGCAACAGAGUGAGGGAGGGCCAGACUCUGGACACAGCCGCAGACGUGGCAGCAGAUCCAGCCACAGUGAGCUGGAGGUUUCAUAUGGAUCUCUGGCAUGGUGAGACUUGAAGUCGGAGGGUCAGCUUGGAGACAGUGGAGUCAGAUCUACAACAGAGGAAAAAAUAAUGAUAAAUCUCAACUCAGAGCACAUCACCUCUGGAAGAUUAAUAUGUGUCUACACCUAAUGAUCAAUGAUCAGUUAUAAUAUAAUGUUAUAUUUUCAUCAAACUGGAUCCAUAUUUCAUCACAUUUGAGAUGAUUGCUCAGUCAUCAUAUUAAAACCCUGAGCGGCUGUGCGCAGCCUGUGGGCUCCUCUGACUGCUCAUGUUGUCUGAUGGAGCUCACAGAGCUGCAGAGGUUUUUCCCUCAUGGGAGCUGUGGUUAGAUGUAA